GACGAACGCUGGCGGCAGGCCUAACACAUGCAAGUCGAGCGAAGCCUUCGGGCUUAGCGGCGGACGGGUGAGUAACGCGUGGGAACGUGCCCUUUGGUACGGAAUAGCCCCGGGAAACUGGGAGUAAUACCGUAUGUGGCCGAGAGACGAAAGAUUUAUCGCCAAAGGAUCGGCCCGCGUUGGAUUAGGUAGUUGGUGGGGUAAUGGCCUACCAAGCCGACGAUCCAUAGCUGAUUUGAGAGGAUGAUCAGCCACACUGGGACUGAGACACGGCCCAGACUCCUACGGGAGGCAGCAGUGGGGAAUCUUAGACAAUGGGGGAAACCCUGAUCUAGCCAUGCCGCGUGAUCGAUGAAGGCCUUAGGGUUGUAAAGAUCUUUCAGUGGGGAAGAUAAUGACUGUACCCACAGAAGAAGCCCCGGCUAACUCCGUGCCAGCAGCCGCGGUAACAC
rnacentral:rRNA from 1 species